rnacentral:rRNA from 1 species
AGUGAACGCUGGCGGUAGGCCUAACACAUGCAAGUCGAACGGCAGCACAGUAAGAGCUUGCUCUUACGGGUGGCGAGUGGCGGACGGGUGAGGAAUACAUCGGAAUCUACUUGUUCUUGGGGGAUAACGUGGGGAAACUUACGCUAAUACCGCAUACGACCUACGGGUGAAAGCAGGGGAUCUUCGGACCUUGCGCGAUUGAAUGAGCCGAUGUCGGAUUAGCUAGUUGGCGGGGUAAAGGCCCACCAAGGCGACGAUCCGUAGCUGGUCUGAGAGGAUGAUCAGCCACACUGGAACUGAGACACGGUCCAGACUCCUACGGGAGGCAGCAGUGGGGAAUAUUGGACAAUGGGCGCAAGCCUGAUCCAGCCAUACCGCGUGGGUGAAGAAGGCCUUCGGGUUGUAAAGCCCUUUUGUUGGGAAAGAAAAGCAGCAGGUUAAUACCCCGCUGUUCUGACGGUACCCAAAGAAUAAGCACCGGCUAACUUCGUG